GCGUACGAGAUUAUGCGCAUGCAUUCUCACCUCGGUCAUUGUUUUGAUAGACAUGCAACGAGUAGUGUGAGAGAGACGCUCACUCUCUGGGAACGGUGUACAACAGUAUGUUGAGCAUUUCAACCCUCGUGAGGUGAAUGUGAUGUUCUGUAGGAGCUGAUUGUUACGCUCUUCACCAAUCAGCUGAUUGAACUUCUAUUCAAUAUGAAGGGAAGGGCAAAAAAGAUAAAAUUUGAAUUGAAGACAAUAAAUUGUUUUCAGCAAUAAAAGCUGCUGUCAUGAAAUGGGACCCAGCUGCUACAGAGGCCCAAAUAAAGUCUGCUGCAUCUGAUCAUCUGAAACAUGCCCCGGGAGAGUCAGGGGUGGUGGCUGUAAAUGAAUAUAUUGUGGACCUUAUAGCAGCCACAUUUUGUUAAUUGUUUACUGUUUUAACAAAAUUUUAUAGCACUUUUAUUUAUAACUUUACUGUUCAGGUUUUAAGUUGUAUUGUGUUAAUUUAUACUUGACUGUUCAGGUUUUAAGUUGUAUUGUGUUAAUUUAUACUUGACUGUUCAGGUUUUAAGUUGUAUUGUGUUAAUUUAUACUUUACUGUUCUGGUUUUAAGCUUGGGUAAAAUUUGUAAUAAAAAUAUAUUUU